rnacentral:rRNA from 1 species
GACGAACGCUGGCGGCGUGCCUAAUACAUGCAAGUCGAGGGACGGGGGCACGCGUGAGUAACACGUAUCCAACCUGCCCUUUACUCGGGGAUAGCCUUUCGAAAGAGAGACUGAUACCCGAUCUAAAGGGUGGGGAUGCGUUGCAUUAGGUUGUUGGCGAGGUAACGGCUCACCAAGACUUCGAUGGAUAGGGGUUCUGGGAGGAAGGUCCACCAGGUUGGAGAUGAGACACGGACUACACUCGUACGGGAGGCAUGAGUGAGUAAGACUGGUCAAUGGGCGCUAGCCUGAACCAGCCAAGUAGCGUGAAGGAGUAAGGCUUAUGGGUCGUCAAUUGUUUUUAUAGAAGAAUAUGUAUUUUAUGAAUAAGGCUCGGCUAACUACGUGCCAGCAGCCGCGGUAAUUC